UGACUACUUACACCUCAUGCUUGUGGCAA
rnacentral:piRNA from 1 species